AAAUUGUAAGAUUAACCCGCUCAUGUUUUGUUAUAGAGAGUUCCGUUUCUGUCCCGUCAGAGGUAAUAUUGUUUCCGUUUUGUACACCGGUUCAUUGUCGAAGACCAAUAAAACUGCGAUCGUAUAAAAAAUGGAAUACUAGCUAUGGUACAUACGAAAUCCGUUGUUUUACGUGGUAUAUACGUUCGAGAUUGUGUGUCGACACUGGCAACGUCUGGAGUUCGGUUAUCCGAAAGUAUAUCGUGUACAGCUGUAUGGGUACUCCAUUC